AGCGAACGUUAGCGGCGGGCUUAACACAUGCAAGUCGAGCGAGAGAGUGACUUCGGUCAUGAGUAAAGCGGCAGACGGGUGAGGAACACGUAGGUAAUUUUCCGUUUAGUGGGGGACAACGGUCCGAAAGGACCGCUAAUACCGCAUACGUUUCUUGGGACUUUGGUCUUGGGAAGGAAAGCUGGGCAACUGGCGCUAAAUGAGAAGCCUGCGUCGCAUCAGCUAGUUGGUGGGGUAAUGGCCUACUAAGGCGAAGACGCGUAGCUGGUCUGAGAGGAUGAUCAGCCACACUGGAACUGAGACACGGUCCAGACUCCUACGGGAGGCAGCAGUGGGGAAUAUUGGACAAUGGGCGCAAGCCUGAUCCAGCCACGCCGCGUGAGUGAUGAAGGCCUCGGUCGUAAAGACUCUGUGGGGAGGAGACGAACC
rnacentral:rRNA from 1 species